GAUAUUUCGACAAUGGGCGCAAGCCUGACGCAGCAACGCCGCGUGCGGGAGGACGGCCUUCGGUUUGUAAACCUCUUUUCGAGGGGGAGAGGAAGGACGGUUCCCUCGUAAUAAGUCUCGGCUCACUCUCUGCCCGCAGCCGCGGUAAUACGCAGGAGGCGCGCUUUAUCCGGAUUUACUGGGUGUAAAGCGCGUGCAGGCGGCCGUUCAAGUAGUGCGUGAAAGCGCCCGGCUCAACCGGGAGAGGUCGUGCGAAACUGCGGGGCUUGAGGCAGGUAGAGGCGUGUGGAAUUCCGGGUGUAGUGGUGAAAUGCGUAGAGAUCCGGAGGAACACCAGUGGCGAAGGCGGCACGCUGGGCCUGGCCUGACGCUCAGACGCGAAAGCAUGGGGAGCGAACGGG
rnacentral:rRNA from 1 species